GUUAUGGCCGCCAUGAGCCUACUUCCAUUUGAUAGGCGCCUCCCUCAUGUGCCCAGGCUUGUGCUAGGCGCAUGCAUGAGGGUGUUGUUUUGGCCCUGGAACUUCGAUUUCUUUGUCUUUUUGGGUGUUUUCUUCCACAUAAGAUGUCUUGGAACUUGGGAACAUAAUUUCUCUCUUUGUAAAUUAUUAUGAGGCUUCUUGAAUCCUCAUUCUUUCAUCUUCCCAAAGUCCUCACAAAUCUUCAGAUGUUUUGAUCUGCUGAUUUGCAUGAUUUCUUUGUGAAUGACGUCAAACCACCCUAAAA
rnacentral:lncRNA from 1 species